CUUCCGAACAAAUCGAAAGUGUUUGGGACUUGCAGGACUCGCAGCCAGAAACCGUUUCAUGCUCGUUAGUGACGCUGCUUUUGUGUUACAGUGAUGUUUAAUCUUCAGGUGACUUCGACAACUAUGGAGCUUCUUCCUCUCGUGUGUCUCUGUCUCCUGACUCGGUCUGGAACAACGUUUGCUGAAGAAGCACAGGUGGAGUCAUUUCAUGCCCGCCUCCUCCUGGUUCACUACAGUCUCUAACAGACCUGCUGCGCAGUAUUGUGAUGUUGACCAUGUAGCGGUCUUUGGCAGCGGAUGUUCGGGGCGUCGCCUCCGUCCUGCUGAGCGAAACGCGCCGCUGAUUCCGAGCGAAGCUUCUUCGCGUCAAACCCGAUUCAUUGUUGCGACACAUCUCUGAUAUUUCUGAUCAGAUCUGAACUCUUGUCCGCCACCUGAGGGCUGCUGAGAGGUCUGUUGGUUUUUACUGAGCAGGAAAUAAGAAGAAGAAUCAAAUAAGAAGCAGGGGAAGUUGUUCCUCCCCUCUUCCCCUUUAGACCCCGCCUCAUUUUAAAUCCAGAUCCAAAGCCGUGACGAUGUUCAGAAACAGAAAUAAAUGAA